rnacentral:rRNA from 2 species
UGCAGUCGAACGAGGUUUGGUCAGUUUGCGGUGGUGCUUGCAUCACCAAUUACCGAUCAAACCGAGUGGCGGACGGGUGAGUAACACGUGGGUAACCUGCCCUUCAGCAGGGGAUAACAUUUGGAAACAGAUGCUAAUACCGUAUAACCACGGAGACCGCAUGGUCUCCGGGUAAAAGAUGGCGCAAGCUAUCACUGAAGGAUGGACCCGCGGCGUAUUAGCCAGUUGGUGGGGUAACGGCCUACCAAAGCGAUGAUACGUAGCCGACCUGAGAGGGUAAUCGGCCACAUUGGGACUGAGACACGGCCCAAACUCCUACGGGAGGCAGCAGUAGGGAAUCUUCCACAAUGGACGCAAGUCUGAUGGAGCAACGCCGCGUGAGUGAAGAAGGCUUUCGGGUCGUAAAACUCUGUUAUUGAAGAAGAACGUGUGUGACAGUAACUGGUCAUGCAGUGACGGUAUUCAAUCAGAAAGUCACGGCUAACUACGUGCCAGCAGCCGCGGUAAUACGUAGGUGGCAAGCGUUGUCCGGAUUUAUUGGGCGUAAAGCGAGUGCAGGCGGUCUUUUAAGUCUGAUGUGAAAGCCUUCGGCUUAACCGAAGAAGGGCAUCGGAAACUGGGAGACUUGAGUGCAGAAGAGGAGAGUGGAACUCCAUGUGUAGCGGUG